GGCACGGCGCCGCCCCGCUACCCAACCCCAGCCCGGCGGCGCCCAAGGCCUCCUUCGUUCCCCUUAGGCAGCGCCCUGCUCCCUUAGCCCCUCAGCUAACGUGCGGAGGCUGAAAAAAAGGGGUUUUGCUGCUGAGAAGGGCGCUGGAGGAGCCGCUUUCCUCCGCCCCGUCCUCGGGCGCUGCCUCCUCACAGCGCGGACAAAGGGCGCGGGCCGCCCGGGUUUCGCUUCCCGCCCUCACGGGGCGCCCAGGCCCGACGCCAGGUCGGCGGUGGAAAGCCCGGCGUAAACAGCAAAAAAACAGCCCCGAAAGUGGCGCUAAGCGGUUAAAAAGAGCGGGGAGGGAGAGCAGGGGUUGGAGGGAAAGCAGAUAAACCUUUUUUCACUGAAGCACUGGACCUCAAGUAACCCAGGCAGGACAGAUGUUACCAAUACGGGAUUAUUUCACUCCAGCGCUCAUAUGCUAAAACUUCAUUACUUAUUGAUGGAAAGACACUACAUCAUGCAACUUGAGGGCUCAGAUGGCCACGGAUAUCCUACUCAGACAUCUCUGCUGCAGAGGAGUGAUUCUAAUUGAUGGCCUGGACUUCCACACAAAUACAGCUAUCCCCAAAGUAAGAAGAGAGCUGUUUGCUGCAGGUAUUGACAGGGAAUUUGUAAGAACCAGAUCUCAUUUGUGAGUGUUCAGCAUUUUGGGCUUUGAUGUUGGGUCUAACAGAAUUAUUCCCCAUAACCGAAUGGAAACAUCUCCUUGCGGUUUGGAAGGUAGUCUGCCAGGUACUACUGACAGCUCACAAGACAGAAGCACUGUAAAAGCAACAGCAUGCAGGGAAGGGAAGUCACACCGUUGUGAUUUUAUUCCUGUACUCCUCAAGCAAGCUCAGACCUUGCACUGCAGGGUGAGCUCUGCAGACCUGAGCAAAAUCCAGCCUCAGAACCACUCUCACCUCUUGGCAACUCGGAGAGAUACCCUCCUGAAGCUGCUACCAGUGGCAAUGUAACAACCCAGAGAAGUGAAGGAGUGCCCUCUUGUGUCAGUCACCGCUCUUUUCAUUUGCCUGGUGUUCUAUUCCUGUCUUUAUUAUGAGUGAGCACUCUGCCUUUUCCCUUCAACAGUUUUGGAGAGUUCAGUGUUUUAGCCCAUUAAUUGGUGUGGUAAGAAACAAAACUGGAAAUUCUGAGUAAUACAGACGUAUCGUUACCACUUAGUACAGAAGACAAAAGGUACAGAGGUAUCAUGUUGGCUCACUCUGCCAGUUAGGCAAAAUGGGCAGAAGUGGGGAUGGUCUUUGCAAAAAUCUUCUGAGGACAUUACUUCUGAUGAGCUGGAUGCAGAAAGCCAGGAAGCGUACAGCUCUGGUGGUUACAUAAUGUAGGGCAUUACAUACGAUUUCAACUGACACCAACUUCUCCAAUCAAGUAGCAAGUUAUUUUUGUAGCAAGAGGACUAGAAAGUGAACUCCGUGAUCAUGUUACAGGGUACUUUCCAGUCUCUCUACAAUAAUAUAAGUGAUGCUCAGUUUCUGUAACACUUGUCUUUAUAGCAAACCCUCUUUCUAAACCGUGCACCUGAAGGCAUUUAGCAUACUGUUUCACGAUUUUGAUCACCAUGAAGGGAGUGGUCACUACAGCAGCUUCAUGCAACACAGUUCAGCUGAUCCUUCAGUAGAUGGCAAUAAAAGCACGUUUACUUGAGGAAGUCACAGUGCCAUCCUAUUCUUGAGUAGAUGUUUUACAGAAAUUACGGACAUCUCCUGAUCUUAGUUUUUCAUUUAAUCUAGUUUCACUUAAAAAUAACACUUGCCUCUUAUCUGCCUGGAUAUCUGAGAUGAGCAGAAAAUGUCUUCACUGAUAAACACUACUAAUACUGAAGUCUUGCAUAGCUUAGUAUCUUUGAAACACAGAGCUACACUAGAGCAAAUGGCUAACAAUGUAUUAUUCAGGUGCUGGUGAUUAUUUGUACAGAUGCAAACCCACAAGCAGUCAGAAAAGUAACUUUCACCCUCUGUCUAAAUCAUUAAGAUCUCAUUUUAUUGUUCUUGCUAGUUUUUGUUUUUGUUGUUCUUCGGUAUGAUCCAUUAGCUCUCAUCUUGCUUCUCCAAAUGCAUAAAGUUUGUUACUGCCCUGGGAACCUCCAUGUGGUUUGGACAAACCUAUAUGCAAACAUUUGCCUAGCACCUAACUUUAACUAUGCUUUUAGUGGCCCCGGUACAUGUUACUUGCAUCCUUAAUUCCCCCACUGUGGAUUUUCCUGUUUAAUGCAAACAAACGUUAUCAAUACAGAAAGAAACGUUUUAUUUGGGAGAAAUUCACACUGCAGAAAAUCAUUAUGAACUUGCUGCUGACACUGGCAGGUAAUAUAACUCAACUGAGUAGCUAACAGAUUUUCAUAAACCUUUCAACUGAUGCCACAUGGGUUAUCUUGCUAUUUAUUUCAGCCUUUUUUUUUUUUCUCUGAGGUUUAAGUGUUUGUCAAGUUCACAUUAAUUAUCCCUCCAGGUGAGAUUUUGUAAGAUAAAUUCUAAUGAUGGUAGCAUCAUAUUCUUCUGAAAUACAGAAAAUAUAUAAAUAUUUGGCUAUCUGAAACAAUUGAUAUUUUCCAAUUUGUGGUGUUUUUCAAACCCACCAGGCUCAAUCGGCAAAGAAAUUGAGUACUUGAAAAAUUACUAAUACUUAACCAUGUGUGGAAAUAUCUCUGAGACUAAUUUGUACUUUAACUGGCAAAAACGUAGCAAAAGGAUCCCCCACAGAAGCCACUGCAUCUUAAAAAUAGAAUUUUAAAGAUU